AGUGGGGAAUAUUGCACAAUGGAGGAAACUCUGAUGCAGCCAUGCCGCGUGUGUGAAGGAGGCUUUCGGGUUGUAAAGCACUUUCAGCGAGGAGGAAAGGGUGCAGGUUAAUACCCUGUAUCUGUGACGUUACUCGCAGAAGAAGCACCGGCUAACUCCGUGCCAGCAGCCGCGGUAAUACGGAGGGUGCGAGCGUUAAUCGGAAUUACUGGGCGUAAAGCGCGCGUAGGCGGUUAAUUAAGUCAGAUGUGAAAGCCCAGGGCUCAACCUUGGAACUGCAUUUGAAACUGGUUAACUAGAGUUUUGUAGAGGGUGGUAGAAUUUCAGGUGUAGCGGUGAAAUGCGUAGAGAUCUGAAGGAGUACCAGUGGCGAAGGCGGCCACCUGGACAAAGACUGACGCUGAGGCGCGAAGGCGUGGGGAGCGAACGGGAUUAGAUACCCCGGUAGUCCACGCAGUAAACGAUGUCUAUUAGAAGUUUGUGGCUAUAUGCCGUGGGUUUCAAAGCUAACGCAUUAAAUAGACCGCCUGGGGAGUACGGCCGCAGGGUUA
rnacentral:rRNA from 1 species